GUGCUUGCUUCAGGCAGCACACAUACUAAAACUGGAAUGAUACAGAGAGGAUUAGCAUAGCCCCUCUGCAAGGAGGACACGCAAAUUCGUGAAGUGUUCCAUAUUUUU
ensembl:snRNA U6 U6 spliceosomal RNA